AGUGUCCCCCUCUACGAGGUCUCCGUUGCUAAGGUACCGAUAGCCACAGCUAUGUUGCUUAAUGGACACCAUAAAGGAGUCCUCCUAUCAAUAUGGAUUCCAGAGAUUUGAUCUGAGCCUUAGAUGCUCGGGGUGCCGCUUGGGCUGAUGGCAUCUAGAAGUUCCCAGUGACGAAUCCUUCCCCCGCCUUUCCCAGCUUCCAGGGCCCAUGCGCUUUUCUAGGCUCACGGGGACAUCACUUCAAUUUCUGCUUUUGCCACCACGUCUCAUCGUCUUCAGCUGUCUUCUCUCUCUGGGGAUACCUGUGACCGUUUUCAGUGCCCACCCACAGGUCACGUGUAUAGGAAGUUUGUACACAUGAGUGUAAAUGGUGACAGAGACCAGAAGAGGGCAUUGGACCCCGGGAGCUAGAGCUGGUCAUUGAGAGCUGCCUAGCAUCAGUUCUGGGACUCAAACUCAGGUCCUCUGCAAGAGCACUUCAUUCUCUUAAGUGGUGAGCCACGUCUUUAGCUUCUGUUACACUGUGUAUCUCAACAG
rnacentral:lncRNA from 1 species